rnacentral:rRNA from 1 species
AAGUUAAGCCCUCCAGAGCCGAUGGUACUUCGCGGGAAACCGCGCGGGAGAGUAGGUCGCUGCCGGAU